rnacentral:rRNA from 1 species
GUGGACGCCAGUCUGCAUGGAGCCGACCUUGAAAUACCACCCUUUAAUGUUUGAUGUUCUAACGUGGACCCGUAAUCCGGGUUGCGGACAGUGUCUGGUGGGUAGUUUGACUGGGGCGGUCUCCUCCUAAAGAGUAACGGAGGAGCACGAAGGUUGGCUAAUCCUGGUCGGACAUCAGGAGGUUAGUGCAAUGGCAUAAGCCAGCUUGACUGCGAGCGUGACGGCGCGAGCAGGUGCGAAAGCAGGUCAUAGUGAUCCGGUGGUUCUGAAUGGAAGGGCCAUCGCUCAACGGAUAAAAGGUACUCCGGGGAUAACAGGCUGAUACCGCCCAAGAGUUCAUAUCGACGGCGGUGUUUGGCACCUCGAUGUCGGCUCAUCACAUCCUGGGGCUGAAGUAGGUCCCAAGGGUAUGGCUGUUCGCCAUUUAAAGUGGUACGCGAGCUGGGUUUAGAACGUCGUGAGACAGUUCGGUCCCUAUCUGCCGUGGGCGCUGGAGAACUGAGGGGGGCUGCUCCUAGUACGAGAGGACCGGAGUGGACGCAUCACUGGUGUUCGGGUUGUCAUGCCAAUGGC